rnacentral:rRNA from 2 species
GCGUAAAUUGGCGUAUGGUGAAUGCCUUGACUCUAAACUUCGACGAAGGACGUAGCAAGCUGCGAUAAGCCUCGGUGAGCUGCUAAGCAAGCUUUGACCCGGGGAUUUCCGAAUGGGGAAACCCAAUUUGAGUAAUGUCAAAUUAUCCCGCAUUUACUGCGGGAAGAAUACUUAGUGAACUGAAACAUCUCAGUAGCUAAGGAAAAGAAAUCAAAAGAGAUUCCCUUAGUAGUGGCGAGCGAACAGGGAACAGCCUAAACUUUACUGAUGCCAAGGUGGCAGCCGUUGUCAGUAGGGUGUUGCAGGAAUCUGCAUGUCAUUCUGUCAGGUGACGUUAGAAACAGUUGUUAUAGUUGAAUGACCCUGGGAAGGGCAACCAUAGGAGGUGAAAGUCCUGUAAAUGAAAUAACAUUUGUUUCUAAGUAGAUUUCCUAAGUAGGAUCGGACACGUGUAAUCCGGUUUGAAUCUGGGAAGACCACUUUCCAAGGCUAAAUAGGUUUAGAGAUCGAUAGUGAACAAGUACCAUGAGGGAAAGGUGAAAAGCACCCUUGUUAAGGGGAUGAAAUAGAACCUGAAACCAUAUGCUUUCAAGAAGUGGGAGCCCCAUGUCUCAUUACGUUCGAUAGUAUAUAAAUUACUUAUCGAGCAUAGCGAGAUGUGGGGUGACCGCGUACUUUUUGUAGAACGGGCCAACGAGUUAGCUAUGUGGGGCUUGGUUAAGGGGAUGAUACCCGGAGCCACAGCGAAAGCGAGUCUUAAUAGGGCGCAUUUUAGUCUCACAUACUAGACCCGAAACUGGGUGAUCUAUCCAUGGCCAGGCUGAAGUUUCGCGAAAGCGGAAUGGAGGGCCGAACUCAUCAGUUAUGCAAGACUGUGGGAUGAGCUGUGGAUAGCGGAGAAAUUCUAAUCGAACUCAGAGAUAGCUGGUUCUCCUCGAAAUAGCUUUAGGGCUAGCCUCGUGCUAUAAAAAUAUGGGGGUAGAGCACUGGAAAGGCUAGGGGGCCAAACAAGCCUACCAAACCUUACCAAACUUCGAAUACCAUAUUUAUGUCCACGGGAGUCAGACAGUGACAGCUAAGUGCCAUUGUCAAAAGGGAAACAGCCCAGACCGUCAUUUAAGGUCCCAAAUGGAAAUUAAGUGGAAAAGGAAGUAAAGUUUCUUAUACAACCAGGAGGUUGGCUUAGAAGCAGCCACCCUUUAAAGAGUGCGUAACAGCUCACUGGUCGAGAAAUUUUGCGCCGAAAAUGUAACGGGGCUCAAAUUUCCAACCGAAGAUACGGAUCCCGCCUUUUGGCGGGAUGGUAGAGGAGCGUUCUUAGGCGAUGAAGUCUCACUGUAAAGUGGGAUGGAGUACUAAGAAGUGCAAAUGUUGGCAUAAGUAACGCAAAGUCGCUGAAAAAGCGGCUCACCGAAUGUCCAAGGUUUCCCAAGCAACGUUAAUCGACUUGGGGUUAGUCGAUCCUAAGGUCAAGCUGAAAAGCGUAGCCGAUGGAUAACAGGUUAAUAUUCCUGUACAGUUUAUAAAUCGCCCAAGCAAAACUGGAGCAUGAUUAUAGAUAAAUUUUUGAAGUCUCGCCUUUGGUGAGAUGGAUAAAGUCUUUUAUAGUUUUUGUGAAAGUGGCGCUAACGAAGGGGGGACGCAGAUAGAUAGUUAGAGCGUGUUAAUGAAUUCACGUACAAGCUUCAAGUUUAUAUCCUUAUAUGUAAAUCAGUAAGGGCUUACAAGGAGUUAUGUAAAUUUUUCCGUUCGCGGAAGAAAAUUCUGGUGUGUUUAACUGCCAAGAAAAUCCUCGUCGUGAGAUUUAUAAGCUAUCGUACCGCAAACCAACGCUGGUGGAUAGGUAGAGUAUACUAAGGUGAUCGGGAUAACUAUGCUCAAGGAACUCGGCAAAAUAGCGGCCUUAACUUCGGGAUACGGCCUUCCAGUUGUGGUUUAAAAAUUAUGACUGGAUGCAAUUAACGAGCUCAUGCAACUGUUUAUCAAAAACACAGGUCCCUGCUAAGCUGCAAAGCGCAGUAUAGGGGCUGACGCCUGCCCAGUGCCAGAAGGUCACGAGGAGGAGUUCACGCUCUGAAUCUAAGCCCUGGUGAACGGCGGCCGUAACUAUAACGGUCCUAAGGUAGCGAAAUUCCUUGUCGGGUAAGUUCCGACCCGCACGAAUGGCGUAAUGAUAUGAGCACUGUCUCGAGCAUAGACCCGGUGAAAUUACAAAGACGGUAAAAAUGCCGUCACGUCAUGGUAGGACGAAAAGACCCUGUGCAGCUUUACUAUAGCUUGACAUUGUGUCUUGGUGUAGCUUGCGUAGGAUAGGUGGGAGACUUUGAUCUUCGGUUUUUGGAUCGAGGGGAGUCAUCCUUGAAAUACCACCCUUGCUACAUUGAGAUACUAACCUCGUAAUAAAUGCGGGGGACAUUGUUUGGUGGGUAGUUUAACUGGGGCGGUUGCCUCCCAAAGAGUAACGGAGGCGCGCAAAGGUUUUCUAACUCCGUAUGGAAAUCGGAGUGGUAGUGUAUUCGCACAAGAAAGCUUAACUGUUAGACCAACAAGUCGAACAGAUGCGAAAGCAGGUGAAAGUGAUCCGAUACCCCCACGUGGGUGGGGUAUCGCUCAACGGAUAAAAGUUACGCCGGGGAUAACAGGCUGAUCGAGUCCAAGAGUUCACAUCGACGACUCGGUUUGGCACCUCGAUGUCGGCUCGUCGCAUCCUGGGGCUGGAGAAGGUCCCAAGGGUUGGGCUGUUCGCCCAUUAAAGCGGUACGCGAGCUGGGUUCAGAACGUCGUGAGACAGUUCGGCCUUUAUCCUCCAUGACCACGCGGAAAUUUGAAGGAAUCUAUCCCUAGUACGAGAGGACCGGGAUGGACGAACCUCUGGUGUACCUGUUGUUGUGUCAACAGCAUCGCAGGGUAGCCAAGUUCGGGCAGGAUAACCGCUGAAGGCAUCUAAGCGGGAAACCUCACCUAAGAUAAAUUUCCCCAUUAGCCUCCUGGGAGAUGACCAGGUUGAUAGGUUGCCGGUAUAAGUCCUGUGAAGGAUGUAGCCAAGCAAUACUAAUAGGCGAUUGAAUUUU